rnacentral:lncRNA from 1 species
AAUUAGCAGAAGGGAGGAGCUUCAAAUCCUGGCACUCUAACACAGAGAUUGUUCACUUAAGACUACACAGUACUACUUAUGAAAAAAAACUGGCAGAAGGGUAUUUUACAUACUGUAAACCACACAUACCUUUAUUAUUACUUGCCAGAGGAACCCCUUCAUCUUGCCUAACUGCCAUUGUGUGUGUGUAGAGCAAUUUGGGUGAAAGAAGAACAUGUUUCACAAGCUUAAGUGUGGAUGCUUCACAUUUCUGGGAUUAGUGCUGUACCCUCCCCCAAAUUCAUGGUAAGUUUAUUUGAAAGCAGGUUCUAUAGCAACAAAUGCUUAGCAUUUUUGUAAUUUUCAAACACAGGCUACAAAGCAUAUGAGCUUUUAACAUCACUUACUGUUGGAAGCAGAUGUGGUUAAAGGCACAAAGAGAUUCACAAUUUAGGUUCAAGAUCCUAAUAUCUGAUUUGGUCUACUCAGAUCAAUAACAGCUUGUGGUGUGUGAUACAGUCAUUUUUCACAAAAGUCUCACUCCCCUUAGGAUGCCAUCUCUACUUCCUUUGUGAAGCCAGAAAUAUCAAAAAUUAAUCAUAAAUCACUGCCAUAAAAAUUUCAGAAGGUGAUUCUAGGAGCUUGUGAGAAUACUAGAAGGCAGUGGCAAAGCAUGAGUGACAACAUGCUGUUUUAAUCCACAGUCCCAGUUGUAUAAUUAAAAAGUAAUCAUAAUGACAGUUAUCAUAAAAAAGGCAUGCGCAGUAACUCAAACAGUUGCUUAGCAACCAGUGGAAAAAAUGCUGAAGUGCAAAGAGGCCUGCAUAAAUUAACCGAAAAUCCUCUGUCAAAGAGAUGGGCUAGUUUUUCUGCUACACUGGGUCAUCGUUUUUGUUUUAUUUUUUUAAUGCACAUAUGGGCCUCAUGAGUACGAAAAUCAGGGGUGAACGCAAGAGGUUUAAGAAGACUGCAUUUUACUCAGGAAUUGGAUUUCUGGAUCACUGCAGCAAGAACCAAGGUGUUCUCUCACCCUCUCAACCACCCCUACCCCUCACAUCUCUUCGAGAAAUGCGUUCGUCCUUCCCUAACUUAUGCCACAUAGUAUAUGACAAGAACUAUUUUAUUUACCAUCACCUUCAACACAGGGCCACAAUUUCUGGUCUGUUCUUUUCCUACCAUUCUGAGAUUUAUACACCCAAACAUUUUAUCUGUUUGAAAAGGUGCCUAUGAAAUGCAGUGAGAGUAAUUUGUAGAGAGCAACUUGCUUAAUGAGCAUUCUUUAUCAGCUAGCAGCACCCCAAAAGUCAGACCUCUUUGUAAUCGCGGAUUUAACACCUGACUCUCCCUCAAUGACACAUCUUCAUGGUGUCAUCUUCUACAUUGCCAACAGAUGGUGUCAUGUUUCUAUUGAUGGAGUACAGGCACAUCUCUGUACACCUGUGAUGGACACACUCUUAAUUUUAACUGUGCUACUGGUGAAAUAAAUAAGAAAUAAGCAGUUUGUGACCGAUAGUGCAACAAAGCUCUAAGGGGUAAGGCUAAAACAAUCUAGGUAUGACAUCUCUGUCUUCAGUAAGACCCUAAAAAUUCUAAACCCCAUAAGGAGACAAGUCCAGAGUUCUCUAUGCUCAUAAAGAAGAGAGCUGAAUGCUCUGAGACUUGGGGCCAAUACUGUAAAAUGAGAAAUAAACACAUUUAUUCUGUUUAAAAAAUAAAGGCUCACUGGACUUAAUAUACCUAUCCCACUUUCUUUUUUCCUCUCCUAAGAAUAAAGGACAAAGGCAAAAGGAGGACCUGGAAGUUAUCUAUGGAAGACUUCUUGGGAUAUGUUGUUUCCAUCAUCACUGAAAUAUCUCAGAGUCUGGCUUCCAAAGCCCUCCAGGAUAUGUCCUCAUUCUCUAAAAACCCAACUGGUACCACCAACACACUUCUCUUCUAGUCAGGAGAGUCUCUACUGUGUACCCCCAACUUUCAUGGGCAAUCCCCUCUUUAUGAC